rnacentral:rRNA from 1 species
AUUCCAGCUCCAAUAGUGUAUAUUAAAGUUGUUGCAGUUAAAAAGCUCGUAGUUGGAUUUCUGGCGGGAGCGAUCGGUCCUUCACUCAGUGUUGGAACCUGAUUGUCUCCUGCCAUCCAUGGAGAAAACUUAUCUGGCAUUAAGUUGUCGGGUAGGCAAUCUCCAUCUUUUACUGUGAAAAAAUUAGAGUGUUCAAAGCAGGCUUAUGCCGUUGAAUAUAUUAGCAUGGAAUAAUAAGAUAGGACUAUGGUACUAUUUUGUUGGUUUGUGCACCAUGGUAAUGAUUAAUAGGGACAGUUGGGGAUAUUAGUACUAGACCAUUAGAGGUGAAAUUCUUGGAUCGGUUUAUGACUAACGACUGCGAAAGCAUUUAUCAGGGAUGUUUUCAUCG